UACGUAGGGGGCAAGCGUUGUCCGGAAUCAUUGGGCGUAAAGCGCGUGUAGGCGGCCCAGUAAGUCCGCUCUGAAAGCCCGGGGCUUAACCCCGGGAGGCGGGUGGAUACUGCUGGGCUCGAGUCCGGAAGAGGCGAGUGGAAUUCCCGGUGUAGCGGUGAAAUGCGCAGAUAUCGGGAGGAACACCAAUGGCGAAGGCAGCUCGCUGGGACGUGACUGACGCUGAGACGCGAAAGCGUGGGGAGCA
rnacentral:rRNA from 1 species